rnacentral:tRNA from 1 species
GGAGGUAUGGGUGAGUGGUCUAUACCAGCACAUUGCUAACGUGCUGAGCUCUGAAAGGGUUCCGCUGGUUCGAAUCCAGCUGCCUCCG